CGUACGAGGUACACAUUUUUGAGUGCCUAUAU
rnacentral:rRNA from 1 species